rnacentral:lncRNA from 1 species
UUACAUGUGCUAUAUUCAUCCGUUCUAAAAUUUUCCAAAUGCCUGGGGCAUUAAGAAGGGAAAAGGUUUAGAACUGGAUAUGACUAAAAGGAUUAAACAAUUGUCGAGGACAAUCUAAGGUUUACCAAAGAUUGGUUACUCAAGGACAAUUGGAAGUAUAGUGAUAAUUCUGGAAGGACCAUAUUGACAUAAUCUGUAAGGAGGCAACUCUUGUUCAGAAGUGAUAGUCAAAAUGGAAUCUGGAAAUGUUUCAAAGUUAGAAUUUUCAAUCUGUGUAAGAUUAAGGAAACUUAAUGCAAGAAGGAUAUUUCCAAGGAGUUGAUCUCCUUUGGAAUACUCUGUAAUGAUUGUUGCCAAGUCUUUGUGACUUUGUGCAUAAUCAUUACAAGAGGAUCAAUGCAUAUAAGUUUAGAAUCUAACAGAUUUCAGUAAAUGGCAUGAAUUUGGAAUUCUUGCAUUUGCAGUAAGGAUUUGGGAGUGUGAAAAGAGAAUCAUUGAAGUUAUGUUCAAUUGAUCUAGUUCACAAAGUAAAGAUCAUAGACAAACAUAGUAUGCAUACUUGGUGUGUGGCAUGACUAGUGUUUAAGAAAACAUAGUGUACAUGCUUGGAGCAUGGGACAACUAUUGUUUUAAAUUCAAGAAUAAAGUUGAUAGCUGAAACAGUAUACAAUGAAUAAUGUGUAAUCAUAUGGUGAUAAAUAAAAGGUGUUUUAUUUAUGUUCAAAGGGUUGAUACCAUAUUGGAUUCAAUUAUUAUUGUGUUUCACUUUGCAUGUUUUGACUUCCCGAAUAAACUAGGUUAUUCUUCCGGAAUGACUAAGUUAUUCAAACCAUCCACAGUCGGUCAUAUGUUGGAAGUAGAUAUGAAUUAAGACUGUCAUGGGUUGGCUUGUAGAGGUCUAAGGUGUUGGACAAAGGGCUACAACACUCAUGAGUGCUCAUAAGUUCUGAGUAUUGGAUUCAACCCGCGCUCAUUGGAAUCACUUCAUGGAUUUUAUCACGAGUGAUCAUGAGACGAUAAUAUCUUAUAUUCUUCAAACCUAGAGAUAUGAGUUGUUACUAUGAGUUGGUUGUACAUUGAUUGCACGAAAACGCAUUUGGUAACUCGGUGCUAUAAAACGUGCCUUUGUGUAUGAUUCAACAAGUAGUAGAACAAGCCAUAUGAGUCGAAGUUUAUCCAUUCCUUUUACCUUCGGGAUAAAAGCGAUAUCUGUGGGCCCCUCGAUGAUUUGAUGAUGACAAAUGGAAGUGCUCGGCCGGGCCAGGACUGAUUUGAUUUGUUCAAUUAGUCAGUCGUCAUAAAUCGGAAAUCGGGAAACAACAAAUGGACAGAGAGAAUGAUUAUAAUCCAUGUCUCAGUCCAUAUGAUAUCUAGAAUGGAGGAAUAUAUGAUCCCUUAUCUAAUGGACAAGUUCGUUGACAAGAUCAGAGUUCGACAGCAGCUUUAAGAGCUACGAUUGCCAGUUAGGUUUGAAGUCAUACGCAAUAAUAGUUUUAGACUUAUCCAAGUGGGAGACUGUUGGAUUAAUGUCUAAGUCCAUAACUAUAUUUGGUAUGUACUUGACCCGACCCGGCAUGGUCCAUUUGGGUUGCACUUCACCGACACAAUUUAUAUGGAUAAUCUUUUGAGAAUAGUAUGUUUAUGAUUAAUAUUAAUAUAUUAUAAGUUCUAAUAUAUUAAUAUGGAAUCAUAUUAUUUAAUUAGUAUUGAUCAAGAAUUAAUUUAUAAUUAAUUAAGUGAUCAAAAGGAACUAAUUAAAUAUGGACUCUUAUAUAUAUGGAAUGGGCCAAGUUCAUUUAGGUUGGGCUAAGCUUUCAUGGAUAGUCCAUGGAGUGUUUAACCCAUGGAUCCUAGGAAAUGAAAGGUCAUGGGUAUUAGGGUUUAACCCUAAUCCUCCAUACUAUAUAAAGAUGUCUUUGGUUGGUGAAAUUGGCACUAGUGUGGAUACACUAAAGAAGGGCUAGCCAAUUUCACUAGAGAGAACCAAGUAAUCAUAUUCUCUAAAGUAUUCCAAGGUGUCUUGGUGAUUUGUGAUUCCACUUGAGGCUUCCACACUAUUGGGGCUAAGCUCUUAAAGCUUGAAGACAUCAAGCUACAUCAAGAGGUAUGUAUUCUAUCUUGUUACAUUCAUAGUUUUUGUAUGCUAGAUUAGGAUAAUACCUUGGAUGUUCUUUUUGCAUGUAUAAUAGAGAAAACAUAGAUCCAAGGUAUUUAGGGUUGCAUGUACACUUAGGAAGUGUUAGAAUGCUCAAAACCCAACACUAGGCAUUCAAGCUUCAUGAAGACAAGCACCAACAAAAGGUAUGUUAUUCUAACUUGUGUUAUUCAAAGUUUUGUAUGCUAGAAUAGAACAAUACCUUGGAAAGUCGAUAUUUGCAUGUAUAAUAGAGAAAACAUAGAUCCAAGGUAUUUAGCGUUGCAUGUACACUUAGGAGUGUUAGAUUGCUCAAAACCCAACAUGUUCUUGGGCUGUAAACUCCUUUUCAAGCCUCUACCUUGUAAGUACUUCUAUCCUAGAGUAUAUUAAGGGUUUUUACACGUCCAUAUAUCAAGGAAAUCACCCAAGAAACACAAGAACAAGGUGUUUACGGUCCAAUGUGUUCUUGGGCCGUAAACCCUAAAAUGGGUGCCAAAGUGUGCCCUAGUCCCUUUUAAGCCUUGGAAACUAGCAUAGAUCCUUUCCUUGAUGAGCUUAGCACUUGAAAACAUCAAAAAGACCAUAACCAUAUGGGUUUACGAUAGUAAACCCAAAGUCAAAUAGUCCAAGGACCGUAAACUCCAUUUAGGAGUGAAAUGGUGCCCUAUUCACUUCCAUAGGCUUAUACUUCAAGUAGAAAUGCUUUUAAGGACUUGUAGAGCUUCAAAACAACUCAUGGGUUUACGACUGUAAACUUAUGGGUUUACGACUGUAAACUCAAUGAUUUUUGGUCACAAAACCAUAAAAUCAAAUGAAGGGUUCCCUUGAACCCUAAUCUCAAUAGCAAUGUCCUACAACACUUAGAUGCAAUCCUCAGGACUUAUAGAACUUAUAUAAGGUGCUUUACAUGUCCCAGGAUGUCUUAACUUUGUUAAUUAGUUGUUUAAAGACGAAUUGGAUGCAUAUAUGUGAUAUUAUAUGUUAACUAGGAUCAUUGUGUGUGUUUAAGUCUUCGCUUGACACCAAGCACUUGUCCGACCCUUCCAUCCGAUCCACUCACUACAGGUGAGUUCAUACCCCUUAAUUAACCUUUUAAAUGUUUAUAAAGGCUUUAUGGGGGGGGGGGAUACAAGUUGAAUCAUGCUAAUUGUUAUAUCAAUCACAUUGAUUAAUAACUAGCAUGCAAAUGGAUUUACUAUAGGUUAACUGUUUACGAAAAAGAUUUCUUCAAAUGUCUUUCUUAAACGUUUUUACAUGUUUAAAACUCUUUAUCAAACUGUCUUACAUACUGUAUGUUUCCUUUCAAACUCUGUUACAAAUGUGUUUUAAACAAAGGAUUUCCUUAUACUUAAACUAUCUUAUCAAACAAAAUACUUUCAAUCGUUUUAUAAACUGACAUCAAGUCACCGUUUCUUAGUAUUAAACUUUCAAAGGUUUUGGCAAAACUUCUUUUAUGCUUUUAUAUUUUCAAAUUUAUGCCUAGAUAUGUAUAGUUAUAUAAAUAAUGUUUAAAGGACUUAGGACGGUUAGCUCGCUUUAUUUCCUUUUCCUCGUUAGGAUGUGGCCUUAGGGCAUCGGUUGCUCGUCCGAAUGUCGUCUAAAUAUUAGUUAUAUAUCAUGUAUACAUAUAUAGACAUAAAAGUUCCAGUAGUCAGUUCAGUACCUUUGGGUAGCAAAGGUAUACUUUCGGUGAUACACGUACAUUACUAGUAACUAUAAUAGGUGUAGUUAGGAGAUACUACUUACCAUUCCAAGUGCAAGGAAUCACACAAGAGUCAGUUCAUUCAUGAGUCUAUACUAAUACAUUACAUGUUACAUGAAUACGUUUACAUAAAUACGCUUACAUGAAUAUGCUUACAUGAAUACGUUUACAUAGAUACGCUUACAUGAAUACGUUUACAUAGAUACACUUACACAAAUACGUUUACAAUACACGAUAACAGAGCAGACAUAACAAGGUGCUAUAGCAUGGAACAAGUUCAGGAUCUAACUAUACCAAUGAAUCACUAAUGCUUUGUGAUAGUUAUAUUGGGUAUACAUGAUCAUAGUAAUGUGGAUGUUCACGACUUGCAAUCAUGCAGGGGUCGCGUUUGGUUCCCAAAAUCUCUUGACAGGGAGCGUUUAGUAUGGGAUCUAGCCAUCACAUUAUGCCUUAACCCUCAAUUAAGGCAAAUUAGUACAAAAGUAGUCACUUAUUACAAAUACUAAAAUACUUACACUGUAUAUACGAAAAUUACAAAAGGAUAAAACUCCAGUUAAUAUAUUAUUACUACCUUUACCAUGUGUCAUAUUCACAUAAUCGAUGAGGUAGAUUAGAUAAUAAUAAUAAUAAUAAUAAUAAUAAUAAUAAUAAUAGUCGUACAGUCGGGUCUUGGUAGAAGGCUACUUUCAAAACAGUCGGGUCCUGGUAGAAGGCUACUUUCAAAACAGUCGGGUCCUGGUAGAAGGCUACUUUCAAAAUAGUCGGGUGUUGGUAGAAGACUACUUUCAAAAUAGUUAGGUCUUGGUAGAAGACUACUUUUUAUAAUAGUAGGAAUCAUUGGGAUUUUCUAGAGUUUUCAAACGUUUACAAUUACUUACAAAGAUUUUCAUACUUAUACAAACUUUUCUCUAAAUGUUUACAAGUCUUUAGUUCACAGUUUUACAAAUCAAAGACACAUUAAUACUUAUGAAUUCACCAGCUUUAUUGCUGAUACUCGCUUUCAAAAUAACUUGUAUUCUCAGGUCACAAAUAGACAGGUACGACGACCAGGUUUUGUGAAGACGGAGCUGUCAAGACUUCUCUUUUAUUUUGAUUAUUCAUUAUGUUGUCUUAUACUAUGUAAGAACACUUGUAAUUAAAAUUAUACUAUUAAUGCAAUGGAUGAUGUUGUUGCUUGUUUACUACUUUACAUUGUUGUGAUACAUUACAUGACGUCCUCCGCACCAGAACGUUUCCGCCGUUCUUGGUUUUGGGGUGUGACACUAUCUCAAUGCCACCUUUCACUCGUUGGCCUACCUCUCCCCAACAGAUGGGAGUCUGACACCUCCUCCCAUAUAAGAGCUCGAAGGGAGGCAUACCGAUACUGGAAUGGUGGUCGUUGUUGUAAGAAAACUUAGCCAAGGGAAAAUAAGUGUCCCGACUUCCUCCGAAGUCCAUAACACAUGCACAUAGCAUGUACUCGAGUUUCUGAAUCGUCCGCUCAAUUUUCCCCUCUGUCUGCGGGUGGUAUACGGUACUGAAAUGCAACCGGGUACCGAACUCCUCAUGAAAUUUCUUCCAGAACCUAGAAGUAAAGUGCACAUCCUGACCUGACACUAUCGAGGUCGACACUCCAUGCCGUACUACCACCUCCCUCACGUAAAUCUCGGCUGAUUUCUUCGCAGAAGAGCUCUCACUAAUAGCAAGGAAGUGAGCACUCCUUGUCAACCGGUCUAUAAUCACCCAUAUCACGUCAACCCCACGCGCAGUCCUCGGUAGCUUGGUGAUAAAAAUCCAUCCAAAUAUGUUCCUACUUCCACUAGGGAAUCUCUAAAGGCUGUAUUGAGCCAUGUGGAUGCUAGUGCUCCGCCUUAACCCGGUGACAGGUCAAGCACCUCUCAACUACCUAUGCCAUGUCCUUCUUCAUAUAGGGCCACCAGUAAUCUCUCUUCAGAUCCAAAUACAUCUUAGUGGCCCCCAGGUGGAUCGAGAAUCUCGAUCUAUGUGCCUCCUCCAUCAAUACACGACGAUCUCCUCCUGUAUAGGGCACCCAGAUCCGCCCACGGAGGGUCAUAAGCCCACGACUAUCCAUCUCAAACUCGGAAACUUGCCCAAUCACUCGCUCUCUCUUGCGGUUCUCUGGUUGUAUUGCCCCGACUCUCAGAUAUUAAUUUUACAGCUUUAUUUUUCAUAUUGGGAGGUCUACUAGAUGAGUUGGAUGCCCUAACUUGUCGAGUAGGAAGUUUUGGGGCCAUGUGUUUAAAUGACCAACUCGACGAGUCGCAUAUAUGACUCAACGAGUUGGAGCUGGAGGAUGAAACCCUAAUUUAUGGGGUUUUACACCCUAUUUAAAGGGUCAUUAGCCUCCCUUACAACCCAUUGUGAGACCAGAAACCCUAAUUCGUGUAUGUGCUCCAUUCUUGUGUAAUUUUCAAGCUUGGAAGGUGUUUUGCUAGGAUGAGACUUGAAGUUUAAGAGGAGUAGUGCAAGAGGAGCUAGUGGAUCUGACUCUUUUGCUUCUUGACAUCAGUUUGAAGGUAACAAGUCGUUACCUUGACCUUCUUUCCUUCUAGAUCUCAUUAUAUUGAAGAUUAGGGGCUUUUCUAGUGUGUGUGUGUGUGUAUNGAGAUAUAUAUAUAUAUAUAUAUAUAUAUAUAUAUAUAUAUAUAUAUAUAUAUAUAUAUAUAUAUAUAUAUAUAUAUAUAAGCCAUUUUUGGGUAUGGGCUAGGAUCUAAAGUUGCAACUUCAGAUCUGAGCUUACCUUGGUCUCUAUAGCUAUAAAGUCUCCAGCUUUAGCAAGUAUGAACCGUCUCUUUAUAAGUUAAACCCAUUAUAAGCUUGGAUUUGACAUUCUAAGCCUUUAGAGCCUUGCACGCACAUAAAGUUUGCAACUUUACGUGAUAAAAAUGCCUUGGGAAGCUUGAUUUGCAAUAUGGAGCUUUAGAGUGGCUUAAAAAGCAUCUGAAUGGAGAGAGGACUAAAGGGACUCGACGAGUUACAUGGCCAACUCGGCGAGUCCGAUGAAGAUUGUCGUGCAAGGAUUUCUGCAUGGACUCGGCGAGUCAGCUAGGGUUUUCCCGACAUUUGAACAUGCAUGAACUCAACGAGUUUCAGGGAAACUGGACGAGUCAACUGGGGAUUUCACGACUUCUCGAGUUCAGGAAGGACUCGACAAGUCGGGUCAACAUAGACUGUUGACCUUUACCACUGACUUGGACUUUGACCAAGGGUUGACUAGUUGACUUCCGGGGUAUUUUGGUAAAUUGGAAAUUUAUGGAAAUUGUCUUAUGGUAAAUAUAGGUGGUGGAGUUUGUGGUCGUGGUUUGAGAGUUUGAGUUUAUUGUUGGGUUUUGAGCAUUUUAACAGUCCUAUGGUGUACAUGCAACCAUAAAUACCUUGGAUCUAUGUUUUCUCAAUUAUACAUGCAAAUAUGUAGUUUCCAAGGUAUUACACUAUACUAGCAUACAAAUAUCAUAUACUACACAAGAAUCUAGUUAGGAUAACAUACCUUAUGGAGGAGCUUGAAGUCUUGAUGUAUCUAGCCUUAAGAGCUUAGACCCAAUAGUGUGGAAGCCUCAAGUGUAAUCACAACACAUCAUGGACAAAGAAUGAACUUGAGAGAGAAUCUCCAUGUACCCUAAAACCCACCAUGAACUCCAAGAAUGCACUGGUAGCGAUUUUGCGCAAUGAAGUAUGUAUUUAUAUGUGGGAUUUCUAGGUUCAUGAAUAUAACCCAAAUCCAUACCCAUGGGUCUUAUGAUCCAUGGUUUAUGUGGCCCAACUUUUUAUGUAUCCAUACAUAAACUUGGUCCAACAUGGAUCAUAAGCCCAACACAUAUAAAUAUAACUAAUUAACAUAAUUAUUCCCCAUAGAUUUAAUUAGUCUCUUUUGAUCACUAAAUUAAUUCCAAAUUGAUUCUUGAACAAUACUAAUUAAAACACAUGAUCUCAUAUUAAUAUAUUAUAACUUAUAAUAUAUUAAUAAAUCAAAUCCAACAUCUUCUCUCAAAAGUCUAUCCUAACAAAUUGCCCUGAUGAUAUGCAACCCAAAUGGACCAUGCUACUCUCGGGUCAAGUGCAUACCAAUAAUAGUUAUGGGCUUAGACAUCUAAUCUAACAGUCUCCCACUUGGAUAAGUCUAAAACUAUUAUUGCAAGUACGACUUCAUAACCUGAUUAGCAAUCGUAGCUCUUAAAGUCGUUGUCGAACUCUGAACAAAUCAAAUGACGCGUCCAUUAGAUAAGUGAUCAUAUAUUCCUCCAUUCUAGAUAUCAUAUGGACUGAGACAUAUAUUAUAAUCAUUCUCUCAGUCCAUUUGUUGUUUCCCGAUUUUCGAUUUUUGACAACUGGCUAAUUAAACAAAUCAAAUUAGUCCAGGCUUGGCCAAGCACUUAGGGGUGUCAUCACUAAAUCAUCGAGGGACCCACAAAUAUCGCUUUUAUCCUUAUGAGGUAAAAGGAAUGGAUAAACUUUGACUCAUAUGCUUGUACUAACUACUUGUUGAAUCAUACACAAAGGCAAGUUUUAUGACAUCAAGUUACUAAUGCGUUUUCGUACAAUCAAUGUAUAACCAACUCAUAGUCAACAACUCAUAUCUCUAGGUUUGAAGAAUAUAAGAUAUUAUCGUCUCAUGAUUCACUCGUGAUAAAAUCCAUGAAGUGAUUCAAAUAAGCGUGGGUUUAAUCCAAUACUCAGAACUUAUGAGCACUCAUGAAUGUUUUAGCAACCAUUGCUAUGUCUAAUGCACCUUAGACAAAUCUUACAAGCCAGAUUCAUGACAAUCUUGAUUCAUAUCUACUUCCAACAUAUGACCGACUGUGGAUGGUUUAAAUAAGUUAGUGAUUCAGGAGGAACGACCUAGUUAUUCUGGAAGUCAAAACAUGCAAAGUGAAAGACAAGAAUAAUACUUAAUCUUAUAUGGCCCCAAACUCUUGAGUGUAAAUAAAAACCCUUUUAUCUAAGCACCAUAUUGACUACUCGUUAUUCAUUGUUUCGAUUUAGCAAACUAAUACUUGAAUUGAAACAAUAGUCAUGCCAUGCACCAAGCAUGCAUACUAUGUUUACCUAAGGUCCUUUCUUUUGUGAAAUAAAUCAAUUGAACAUGACUCCAAUGAUGCUCAUUUCACAAUCCCAAUCCCUUUUGUAAAUGUAAGAAUACCAAACUUUUGCCAUUUACUGUAAUCUAUUAGAAUCUAAACUUAUAUGCAAUAAUUCUCUUGUAAUGACUAUGCACAAAAGUCAUAAAGACUUGGCAAAAGACAUUACAAAGUAUUCCAAUGGAGAUCAAUUACAUGGAAACGAAGUCUCAUAUUCACUGUACAUUCCUUUGAACAUCCUUCUUUGCAUUAAGUUUUCUAAUCUUACACAGAUUCAUAGAAUAACUUCCACCUAUGGAAACAAUUCCAUGUUACCAUUUUGACUAUCACUUCUGAACAAGAGUUGCCUCUUUUCAAAAUAUGUCAAUAUGGUCCUUUCCAAAGUUUACAUUAUACUUCCAAUUGUCCACGAGUAACCAAUAUUUGGUAAACCACAAAUUUUCCUCGAAAAUUGUUUAAUCAUGUUAGUCAUAUCCGGUUCUAUUCAUUUUUCCUUCUUAAUGCCCUAAGCAUUUGGAAAAUUUAGAAUGGAUGUAAUCGAUCCUAUACCCGAAGCAUAUGGACACGAUUCAUGCUAUAAUUUUUUUUUAAUUUCCAUGUUCUCACAAUUUGAACUAUGAAGAGGGAUGUCGUAAUCGUAAUCGAAUUUUGAGAACGCCACAUAUAUAGAAUUUACUUAUGUUGAACCAUUCCAACAUAACAUUCAUAUAUAUCCUUGACUAAAGCUGAUUAAAAUCUCAAUCUAAGCUUGACAAAUUGGAAUAAAGUAUAAAAUCAUCUCCCUUAAUUAUAGGAAGACAACUUUUCAAAGUGAAUUGAAAAUUUUGUUUUCUAUAAUUAACAUUGCUAACUUGCAACAUAAUCAUCAUGCUCCCACUAGCAUAAUGAUUAUUAUAAUUUAACUAGCAUAACACUUUAUGCUCCCACUAGCUUUGACAUGUACCCAGAAAUCAGCUUGACUUCUAGAAAUCAAUACUUUAUUGAUUUUCUUACCAAAGUUCAGAUUUCUGAUACGAGAUUGUUUUGAUAAGACUUUAUCAAAAUCAUACAUCUUUUCUUAGAUAGCUCACAUGUUUGUCUAUACCUUUUUCAAUUCUCACUAGUUAGUGUGUCGGUUAACCACACAUGCUCCACUAAUGACAUGAGAAUGAAAAUAUCACAACAGCUAUCUACUUAAAAUCCAUUUAGUGAAAGCAUUUCCUCACCAUCAUUUUUCAUGAAUCGGAGAGAAACCUAAUGACACUUAGAUUUUAUGGUGUAAGUGUUCCUAUCUAUGUGAAUUUGUCAAAACCAGAAUCACAAGACAAGGUUAGUGACAAAUCCACACUCAUAUGGACUAAAGGUCGUGGGCUAGUGAUUAACAAUACUCUUGAUUAGUUCUUUGAAAUUAUUUCAAGAUCUUUUAGACUCCCACUGCCCUCUUGACAUACAAGACUCUCUUGUCAAGAACCAUUCCUUGACAAAACAAAUAUUCAAGAGUUAGUGCGAAAUCUUAUCAAGUUAAACACUUCAUAUAAUUGGUCUUAGUUGGUCUUUGUUUUAUCCAAGACAUCACGACUUACCAAUCUCAAAUGUAAAAAAUAGGAAACAUCUUACUCUACAUUUGACAAGUGUUAUAAACUUUCUAAAGAUUAUGUCACUCAAGGCUCAAUCUUGGAGUAUGACUCUAAGAUUUUGAUUUUGGAACGAAGUAUGAUUUAUCUUUUGAUUUAACCAUUUCCAUAUUAGCCAACAAAUGCACUAAGGUGUCCUUAGAGGAUCAAUCGUGAUAUGUUUUUAUAAUCACUAAGAUAAUUAUAAUACAAGAUACUCAAGUACUCUCCCAUCUCUUCGAAUUAGAGAAACUUUUAUCUUUCUGCCUUGUUUGAUUCUUUUUAUCCGUUCUACCAUACAUUGAAACAUUUCCAAUGUUUCAGAAUUAUUCUUAAACUUAUAAGCGUAACCAUAUUUACUAAACUUUAGUAAAUCAUGACGAAUAGUCUUUGUGGUGGACCUGAUCAGCGCACACCCAAGUGUUCUCGAUCCCUUUGUCCUUCACUUGACUCACAUAUACAUGUGAACAAGGAAUUAGUCUUAAUUUCCUGAAGAUGAAUAAUUCCCAUUCAUCAUACAAUACAAGUUGCAUGAUUCCAAGUUUCUAUCCAACUGAACCUUGGGUGAUGAGAAUCUUUCCUUAUUUGGUAAAUUAUGACACUUCCACAAAUGAAAGAAUCAAAUUCAUUUUCCAAUAUUGCUUAACAGUGGAAAUAUAUAAACAACAAUUUUUCACAAAUGCCUUUGUAAGGAUACUUAAAAUAAAUAAAAUCAAAACUUUUUUUAUUUUAAAACUUGCGGAAAAACUUAUCCUUACAAUGCAAAUUCAUAUGAAAACUUUUUUGUUAUCUAUUCCUAAGCAAUAUCUCAUAACUCUUAUGCAGUGGCUCAAAACUUUGGUCAUCGAACCAUGCGAUCAGAAUCAACACACCUUUAUUUAAGCUUCCUUUGAUUCUUCAAAAACAUCAAGAUGUAAUUACAUUACAUCAUGUAUUAAGAAUCUCCAAAAGAGACUUAAUAGAGUUAGAUAACGGACUUUACCUGAAGUAGAGUCAAACUUUUGACUUUACCAUCCUUAUGAGGCUUCAGGUAAAUUUGGCAACUUCGCAACCAAUGCCCCUCCUAUUGGAAAAAGGAAACAUAUGGACUCUUUGUAAAUGGUACGCGGGACUAUCACAGACUUAGCCUUUCUCUUUACCAUUGGGUCAAAAUGACUUGACCAUGGCCAAUCCCUUUCAAUUAGGAAGAGAAAGGUUUUCUGGACUUUCAUUGUCACCAAUGUCAAUGUCCAAAUAGGUUUGGGAAGUAGAUAUUCCAAUCUAACUUGCUUUACCAAUGCUCCAAAUCAUUGUUGGUUCAGCAUUAUCAAGCAAAUAGGUAAGAUCAUUAAGGGUCAUGUCGUGAUCUGUCAUUCGGGAGUGACUGAAGAACCAAGUCAACAUCCAGCUACCUCGAGACUUCGACACCCAACUCUCCCGGCUUGCCAAUAUGUGACUUAAUCUCCAAGAUGUAAGCACGUAUAAACUUUUAUUGCCAAUAGGGAUUGAGCGACUUAGAACUAUUCAAGUCUUGAAACUUGUGGGAUAGGGAGAUUUAUUGAAGGAGGUGGAGGAAAUGAAGUAUGAUUUCUAGUCCCAUAUUAGUGCUCAAUAAAGGGAUUAGUCUAUCACCUUGAUUGCCUUUUGGGAUAUCAUCUUCAUUACGAAGCUUGUUCCCAAAGAUUUGGGAAGACCAUAGUUGUUAAACUAGACAUCUAUAAGGGAGAAAUUCAAGUUAGUUGAUUUAAAGUCCUUAAUAUAACACCCAAUAUGAAAUAUUAAGGCUAGGACCCAACAACCUAUUUAUAUCUUGAAGAGGGAUGUCGUAAUCCAAGUUAUAAAAUAGUUGAAGGUAGGUAAAUGAUGAGUUACCAAUUUCCACCAUGAAAAAUGAAAUAUAAUUAAGUUUUAAUUGGAUUUGAAACUCCUAGAUCUUUUUAGAUACAUUGAACUUUCAAUGUCAUGUUUGAAUCUCGAUUGUGCCCUCUCAAGUUUGUGACUGGGAUGCUGAGGAUCACAAACAAGGUGUGAAUAGCCAUGCAAAUUGACUUAGUACCCUUAACUUUAUCACCUAAUCGAUGUGCCGGUUAACCACACACGCUCCACCGAUCUAUAAUAAAGCCAAGUUAGCACCUAUUUCACACGCUCUACUAACGACUUGGUAAGGUACAAAGUGUAAUUUCAUGGGUUAGCACCUAUUUCACAUUUUCCUACGUAAAUAAGAUUGGGAUUUUAUAAGUGUUUAGUUACUUAGUAUUUAUCAUUAUACUUUUAACGAAGGGAAAAUUAUAGCCCUUUCCUACCCGUUCGGCUAGCGACCCUCCACCAGUUAAGGAAGCGGUGGGUGAGAGCGGACAGCCAUUAAACCUAAGCGCUUAGCCUGGACUAGGUUGAUGUGUUCAAUUGUAGUCUGUUGUCAGUUGUCAUAAAUCAGAAAUUGGGAAACAACACAUGGAUAGGGAGAAUGAUUAUAAUCCACGUCUCAUGUCCAUAAGAUAUCUUGGAUAAUGGAGCAAUAUAUGAUCCCUUAUCUAUAGGACGCAUUAUUGAUCAGAUCAGAUUUCAACAAUGGAUUUUGAGAGCUACAAUUGCUAAUCGGAUUUUGAAUUCGUACCUGAAAUUAUAGUUAUUAUACUUAUCCAAGUGGGAGACUGUUGGAUUAUGUGUAUAAGCCCAUAACUAUAAUUGGUAUGUACUUGACCUGAUAGUAGCAUUGUCCUUUUGGGUUGCCUUCACCGGAGAAAUUUGAUACAAUGGAUAUUUAAGAAAGAGGUUAUUUGUGAUUUAUUAAUAUAUUAUAAGAAUAACAUAUUAAUUGGGAAAUCGUAUUAUUUAAUUGGUAUUGAUAAGGAAUUAAUUUGGAAUUAAUUUAGUGAUCAAAAGAGACCGAUUAAAUUAACAGGGAUUGAUUAAGUAAAUUAGUAAUACAUAUAGUUUGGGCUAAUGAUCCAUGUUGAUUAGAAUAGACUAGUUUUAUGUGGGAGUCCAUGAAGAGUUAGUCCAAAGGGCUUAUAAUAUGGAUUAUUGGAUUAAAUUCCCAAGGAAGUGAAUUAGGGUUUACAAGUGAAACAAUAAGAAUUCCACAGUAUAAAUGUAACCCCUAGCUUCACCAAAAAGGGUCCUAAGAGUUCCAAGAAGAACCCUAACCGUUUUUAUGUGCCUCCUAGCAUAUCUCUCAUUAUCCUCCAUUUGCUUUUGGUGUUUGUGACUUAUUAGAGGCAUCACAUUUAAGGUGCCAAGCUUUUGAAAGGUCAAGUUCUGCAAGCUACAACUACGAGGUAUUCAUCUAACUAGUUUUUAUGUUUCAAAUAUGUAAGUUGUAUGCUAGUUAUAGGCUUCAUGCUUUGGAUAACUUUAUUGUAUGUCUAACUUGAUAAAACUUAGAUGCAAAGCAUUAGGGUUGUAUGUGCACCAUAGGGAUGUUAUAGUGCUCAAAACCCAACGUGCAAGUCUUCCAUCAUUUUGGGUGACAACAGCAGUUCCCGCCUUAAUUCCAAACCAUAAUCAGUUCAUAAAUUUCAAAUUUCUUCAAGAAUAUAUGAAUAUGUAAACACAUUAAAUGUUAGAAGAGUUGCACAAAAUCAAAACUUGAAGCAAAUGACAAAAAAUAGGAAGAGGUUGAAGUUAAAUCUAUCAUAAAAUUUCACGAAUAACCCAAUUUUAAGGUCUUAUUUCACAUCCCCAUACUCAUUUUUUCUUCAUCUUAAUUCAACACUAAACAUGAGAACGCUAACUUAUUAACAUGAAAAAUCUGUAACAUUUGAAAAAUUCUUGAAAAUUUGAACUUUUAAAAUGAACCACAAACCAUCAUUGUUUACAAAUUGUUUUCAAAAUAAGUUUCAUAUAAGAGAAAUCCCAAAAUCGUAAAAACAAAAUAUGAGGAGGUGCACGAUCACACCUUCACCUUCCCGCGAUCCUCUGAGGCACUUGAAACAUAAUCCAAAACUAUAAGCCCAGGCUUAGUGAGUUCCCCCAAAAUACCAAUAUAUAACAAGUAGCAUAAAAUAUAAUAACAACAUGCAAUGGGUCCACAACUUAACAGAAUAGAUUACCCCUGAGCCCACAACAUAAGUAUGGCUUGUCCUCAGCCCACAACUUAUGUAUGGCUUGCUCCCCGGCCUAUUCAGUCCUUGGACUGAAUACCGCUAAGCCCUCAGUACGAGUUUGACAUGCCCUUCCCGACCCUCAGCUUGUAUCUGGAAUGCUUAUGAGUCCUCAGUAUGAGUCUGGCAUGCCCUCACUGGCCCUCAGCUCAUAUCUGGCAUACUCGAGUUUUGUUGUCUACAACACAGAGCAGUACAACCUCAACCUAACCCACACAAUAUGUUGACAUAUAACAGAACAUAUCAUAAACAGUCAGUAUCACAGAUAGUCCUACAGAUCUACCUGACUAAAAUAUCAAGACCAUCAUGCAUAUUUAUAUCAUACUCAACAUAUCCACAAUAUCAGGUUAAUCAAACCAAUGGUCCGGCCUUGGUGCCUUCGACCCAAAAGUACAGUGAGGAAAACUCACCUCACAAGCAGCUGAACUAAUAAAAUCUAACUCCGAAUCUCAGCUCCCGACUCAAAGCCUACAACCAUCAUGACCAACCCAUCAAAACCUCAAAAUACCCAAAAUUCCCUCAAAAGUCCAUGUUGACCCAACUUGUCGAGUUCCUUUAAUAUUCAGAGACUCGGGAAAAACUCGAGCUAACUCGCCGAUUUGGCUGGAAAUCUCGCCGAGUUUUACCCUCUUACACAUUUAGUCCUUUUUCAUCAAGUCCAAAGCUUCAAGAUGUAGAUCUUGCACCCACGAGCUGGAAAUUCACGUAAAGUUGCCAACUUUACAUUCAUGCAUGACCCAAAGAGGCUCUAACUCUCAAGGAAAUCUUAAUAAGGGAUCUUAAACAUGAAAGAGGCCUAGAACUCAAUAAAGUUAGCAACUUUAAGCCAAAAGAGGCCAUCAAAUGUCUAGAUCUAAAGUGAUAACUUCAUGAAAUACUCAACCCCAUGAACAAUCCAAAAUGAGUCAAAUAUGACAAUAAACUUCCAAAGGAGAGAUCUAAGCAAAUUGAUGAGCAAGUUGUUGACUAUUUACCUUAAACAAAGUAGCUAAACUCAAGGAUAUUCUAGAUCUAUAGCUUCCCCUUCAAGCUAAGCACUACCAACUUCAAGCUCUUUUAAAAUAAGACCAAAAGAAGCAACUUUUAAGCUCACACACUCAACUUGGGGUCAGAUGCACGAAUUCUAGGGUUUCUGGGCAGAGGAGGCGAUCAAGGAGGCCAUUAAUUGGACUUAUGUAACACCUAUUCCAGGUAUUAUUUAAUUUUCUAUAUUUCAGGGUUUUGUGCUCGGACUCGACGAGUUGGGGAGCUUCAACUCGUCGAGUAGAGAUCAUUUAUGAGGACGCGAGAUAUAGAACCUACUCGACGAGUCUAAAGGCCCCCACUCGACGAGUAGGCGUUGUAAAGGGAAACCAUAAUUUUCAGGGGUUUGUACCCUAUUUAAAGAACUUAUGGCUUAUUUGUAGCCUCUUUCAUCGUUCUUACAGUCCAAAGAGAAACCCUAGCCGCAUUUAGGUGCUUUCUUGAGUGUGUAUGAGCUUUGGAGAGUGAAUCUUGGGCUUUUUGGAAGGAAACUUGGAGGGUGAAGAGAUUUUAGUGAGGAGGAGGCUUUGGAUCUGGCAUGUACCUAUUGUUAGCAUCCAGUUAGAGGUAAAAAGUUGCUACUUUGAUCUCUUUUUGCUUAGAUCCCAUUUUAUGGAAAACUAUGGCCACUUUUGGUGCAAAGAGGCUAAACUCGGAUUUGUACUUGUCAUAAGGAUAUGGUUCUAGAUCUGGACAUCUCUAGGUCUUCAAUGACAUAAAGUUGUCCACUUUACAUAGUUUAGGCCCUUUCCAUUCACUAAAACCUUGUAGGAACCCUAGUUUUAGUGUUUUAGCCUUGUGAGGCCUUGCAUGCACAUAAAGUUUGAAACUUUAUGUGGUAACUACACCACACCAUUAGGGGUUGGAUCUAUGCUUUCGAGCCUUGGUUUCCACUGGAAAGGACUGAAUACAAAAGGGAUGAAAGGGACUCGACGAGUUACUUAGCCAACUCGAUGAGUCAAUGAGGGUUUUCCCGUUUUUGGGAUCCUGAGUGAUUUUGGUGAGCUGAUUAAGGGAUGUCAGUCAAGAGAUUUCGGUUUAGAGUUUUUGGCCCUUGGAAAUUAAGGAACUCGACGAGUUACUCAGUUGACUCGGGAUUUCUUUUUUAUGGACUCUGAAGGAAUUCGACGAAUUGAUGGAUGCACUCGAUGAGUUGAGGUCAACAUGGACUGUUGACCUUGACUUUGACCAAGGUUGACUUUAAGGGUAUUUAUGGUAUUUCGGGAUUGUGACAAUUUAAUUACAUGAUGAUUAUAGGCAGUCGAGUUGGAGCUGUGCAUUGGGAUUUAUCUGAUCUUAUCGUGUCAGUUCAGCAUUCACGAGAGGGGAUUCUCCUCACCAUAAUAAUGGGUCUAGACACACCAAGGCUGGCCCAUUUUAUGAUAUGUGGUACACUAGCUGAAGUUAUAUUAUGAGGAAUGAUAUUUGGGUAUGUUCUAGGAAGUAUGCAAGUUGUAUAUAUGGUAUGAUUUUAUGGAAGACCACGGGAGAGCCCAUAGCAACUGGAUGUUGUUGGAUUAAUGUCUAAGUCCAUAACUAUAAUUGGUAAGACUUGACCCGACCCGGCAUGGUCCAUUUGGGUUGCAUGGCAUCAGGCAUUUGGAUAGACUAUAAUGAGAGAAAUAACACUUAAGGAUUAUUAAUAUAUUAUAAGUUAUAAUAUAUUAAUAAGAUUAUUUAAUUAGUAUUGAUCAAGAAUUAAUCUAGGAUUAAUUAAGUGAUCAAAAGAAGACUAAUUAAAUAUAUGGGUUGAUUGUGUAAAUCAUCCAUACUUGUAUAGUGGGCUAAGACUCCAUGGAUUAUCAAGUUGGGCUAAAACCCAUAGGAUGCUCCAUGGAUCCAAGGAAAUGGAAAGCCAUGACAAUUAAGGUUUAUCCUAAUUGUGACACUAUAUAAAGAUAAUGUUCUAGGGAAAAUCGGCUACUAUGUGUGUGAGUGAUAGGGCUAUCUGAUUUUCAUGAAGUGUGGAAUUCUCUCAAGUCUUUCCAAGUGAAUAUGAUGUUGUGUGAACCAUUUGAGGUGUCACACUUGGGCACUAGGCACUCAAGCUUCAUGAAGACAAUCUACAUCACAGAGGUAUGUAAUUCUAACUUUAUAUAUUCAUUUGAAUCCAUGUUAUUAUGCUAGUUAGGAUGAAUACCUUGGAAAGUUCAUAUUUGCAUGUAUAAUAGAGAAAACAUAGAUACAAGGUAUUUAGGGUUGAAUGUACACUUAGGAGUGUUAGAAUGCUCAAAACCCAACAGUGGUAUCAGAGCCUAGGCUUGUUUUCAUGUUAUACUUGCAAAAUUGGCUGAAAAAUCAAAGUUUGGAGUUGUCUGCACAGCAGACUCGCCGAGUCCAUGAAGGGACUCGACGAGUCCAAGGAAAAAAGCAUCCAACUCGCCGAGUUGGUUCAUGCACUUGACGAGUUGGACCCCCUGACAGCAUAUAUUCAAUUGUUUUGGCUAGAAAUGGACUAGGAACAUUACCAUUAGUUGUUUUUGGACUUAUAAACCUGUUUUUGAUGUGGUAAUGUUCAUGCUAAUCCAAUUUCAAAGAUAAUUGUUAAUAGAUUCAUGUUUUGUAUUAGUUUAAAAGUUAUGCUAAUUACAUGAAAAAGUUUGAUGUGAAUUAUCUUUGUUCUUAUGAGUUGCUUAGAUUAAUAGAAAAGUUAAUUGAUUAUGUGUUUUCAAUCCAUUUUAAUUUAAGAGUUGAUUCUAAAAUGUGUUUUUGUAACUUGUUCUCAAGUUAUAUGAAAAGUCACAUUUAAGUUUCAUAAAACUCAUAAAAGUUGGCAAUGGUUACAAAAAUAAAGAGUCUUGUCCUCAAGUUAUGGAGGUUCAAGAGUCACUUCAUUAAGUAAUAAAAUGUGUAACCAUAAUUAAUUCCAUAAGUUACAAAAUAAAGAAAAGUUGCAUUCUUUUAUUAGUUUAAAGUCUUCCAUAACUUGUCCUCAAGUUAUGGAACUUGAAGAGUCUUUUAAUUAAAACUACUUUAAGCCCAUAAGUUAUGGAAUUAAUUAGUUUUGAAUAGUUUCAAAACUUGCCCUCAAGUUUUGGAAUUUGAAAAGUUUUCACUUAUGAAUACUUUAAUUCCAAGUUAGCCCUUAGAAUUUUAAAAGUUAAAAUUCAACCCUUAUACUUUAUAAUAUUAUAAGUUAAUAAUAUUUAUAUAUAUGUAUAAGAGUAAAGUCAGUCUUACCGUUAGUAGGCCUCAUUCACGAAGACGGUCUAUAAGGGGGGUAUAAGGUUACUACCUAUAAAAUGGCAGUUUAAUGGGUGUCCACUCUCACCCACCGCUUCCUUGACUGGUGGAGGGUCGUUAGCCGAACGGGUAGGACAAGGACUAUAAUUCUCCCUUCAUUAAAAGUAUUAAUGAUUAAUACUAAGUAACUAAACCAUUUAUAAAUACCCAAUCUUAGUUACUUAAGAAAAAGUGAAUAAGGUGCUAACCCAUGAAAUUACACUUUGCACUUUGCAUAAGUCGUUAGUGGAGCGUGUGUGGUUAACCGGCACACUAACUCGUAUUUAACAAGGUAGGCAAAGGGUAGCUUAAUGUUUAUCAUAGUGUCGAUGGAGCGUGUGUGGUUAACCGACACAUCAAUUAAGGGGUAAGCACUUAAGGGUACCUGUUGGUUUUUGAGCAUUCUAACACUCAGUGUACAUGCAACCCUAAAUACCUUGGAUCUAUGUUUUCUCUAUUAUACAUGCAAAUAAGAACAUCCAAGGUAUUAUCCUAAUCUAGCAUAUAAAAUAAUGGAUAUAACAAGAUAGAAUACAUACCUCUUUCGUGUAGAAAGUCUUCAUGAAGCUUGAGUGCCAAGUGCCCCAAGUGUGACACCUCAAAUGGUUCACACAACACCAAAUACACNNNNNNNNNNNNNNNNNNNNNNNNNNNNNNNNNNNNNNNNNNNNNNNNNNNNNNNNNNNNNNNNNNNNNNNNNNNNNNNNNNNNNNNNNNNNNNNNNNNNNNNNNNNNNNNNNNNNNNNNNNNNNNNNNNNNNNNNNNNNNNNNNNNNNNNNNNNNNNNNNNNNNNNNNNNNNNNNNNNNNNNNNNNNNNNNNNNNNNNNNNNNNNNNNNNNNNNNNNNNNNNNNNNNNNNNNNNNNNNNNNNNNNNNNNNNNNNNNNNNNNNNNNNNNNNNNNNNNNNNNNNNNNNNNNNNNNNNNNNNNNNNNNNNNNNNNNNNNNNNNNNNNNNNNNNNNNNNNNNNNNNNNNNNNNNNNNNNNNNNNNNNNNNNNNNNNNNNNNNNNNNNNNNNNNNNNNNNNNNNNNNNNNNNNNNNNNNNNNNNNNNNNNNNNNNNNNNNNNNNNNNNNNNNNNNNNNNNNNNNNNNNNNNNNNNNNNNNNNNNNNNNNNNNNNNNNNNNNNNNNNNNNNNNNNNNNNNNNNNNNNNNNNNNNNNNNNNNNNNNNNNNNNNNNNNNNNNNNNNNNNNNNNNNNNNNNNNNNNNNNNNNNNNNNNNNNNNNNNNNNNNNNNNNNNNNNNNNNNNNNNNNNNNNNNNNNNNNNNNNNNNNNNNNNNNNNNNNNNNNNNNNNNNNNNNNNNNNNNNNNNNNNNNNNNNNNNNNNNNNNNNNNNNNNNNNNNNNNNNNNNNNNNNNNNNNNNNNNNNNNNNNNNNNNNNNNNNNNNNNNNNNNNNNNNNNNNNNNNNNNNNNNNNNNAGUUCAAUGAAUCUCAAAGAUCUAGGAGUUUCAAAACCAAUUAAAAACUAAUAAUACAUUUCGUUUAUCUUGGUGGAAAUUGGUGAAUCGUCAUUCACCUACCUUCAAAUAUUUUAUAGCUUGGAUUACGACAUCCCUCUUAUAAGUUAUAAAAUAGUUUGUUGGGUCCUAGCCUUAAUAUUUCAUAUUGGGUGUCGUAUUAAGGACUUUAAAUCAAUUAUCUUGAAUAUCUCCCAAAAAGAUGUCUGGUUUAGACAUUUAUGAUCUUCCCAAAUCUCUUGAAACAAGCUUUCCUAAAUGAAGAUGAUGUCCCAUGGAAAUCAUACUUCUUUCACCUCCUUCAAUUAUUCACCCAAACCCACAAGUUCUUGAAAAGUUUUAGGUCACUCAAGCCGUAUUGGUAAGUAAAGGUCUAUGUGUUGUCACAUCUUGGAGAUGUAGUCACAUAUUGAAAAGACGGGAGAGUUGGGUGUCAAAGUCUUGAGAAAGUUGGUGGCUCAACAACUUUCUAAGUCACAUAGUGAGUUACUUUGGGACUCCUAUGAAAUAGACUAUGACAAGACCCUUAAUGAUCUUAUCUAUUUGCUAAGAUCAACUUCCUAAAACUUUAUGGACAUUGACAAUGAUGACAUUGGAUAUCCAGUAAAGCAUUCUCUUCCCAAUGGAAAGGGAUCGGCCAUAGUCAACUCGGUUGACCAAAUGGUAAAGAGAAAAGCUAAGUCUGUGAUAGUCCUGUGUACCAUUAUCAAAGGGUCCAUAUGUUUAUAUUGCCAAAGAAAGGGCAUUGGUUGCGAAGCUGCCAAAUUUACCUAAGGAUGUUAAAGUCAAUAAGUUUGACUCUACUUCAGGUAAAAUCCACUAUCUAACUCUGUUAAGUUUCUAUUCUGAGAUUCUUGAUACAUGAUGUGACCGGGUCGCAUGGUGAUGGUUUAAGAAUCAAAGGAAAGUGAAGAAACUUAAAGGAAGAAUAUGCUGAAUCUGAUCGCAUAGAUGGAUUUCUAUCGCAUAGUUUGAAAAAUCGGAUUCUUGAGCUACUUCUUAGGAGUUAUGAGAUAUUGCUUAGGAAUAGAUAACAACAAGUUUUCAUAUGGAUUGUAAGGAUAGUUUUUCCGCAAAGUUUUAAAAUAAAAGGAAAUUUUUGAUUUUAUUUAUUUUAAAAUAUCCUUACAAUGGCAUCUGUGGAAAUUUUUGUUGCUUAUAAGAUUCCAUUAGUAGCAAGAGUGGAAGUAUGAAAUUGAUUCUUUCAUUUGUGGUAAUGUCUAAAUUUACCAAAUAAGGAAAGAUUCUCAUCACCCAAGUUUCAAUUGGACCGGAACUUGGAAUCAUGCAAGUUGUAUAGCAUGAUGAAUGAGAACUUUCAAGUAUUGGAAAAUUAAGACUAAUUACUUGUUCACAUGGAUGUGUGAGUCAAGUGAAGGACUAAGGGAUCGAGUACACAUUCUUGUGCACUGGUCAAGUCCACCACAAAAGAUCGAUAAGAGUAUUCGUCAUAAUUUACUAAAGCUCGGUAAAUAUGGUUAUACUUACAAGUGUAAGUGUAAUUUUGAGACAUUGGAAAAGGUUCCAAUGUAUGGCACAGCGAAUAAGAAGAAUCAAAUUAGGUAGAAAGAUAAAAGUUCCUCAAAUCUGAAAAGAUGGGAGAGUACUUUAGUAUCAUGUUUAUGAGCAUCUUAAUGAUUAAGAUAUCAUAUAACAAUUGAUCCUCUAAGGUCAUCUUAGUGCAUUCUUAUGACUAAGAAGAGGAGUCAUGAAUUGUUGAAAUGGUUAAAUCAAAAAGAUGAGUCACAGUUCGUUCCAAUACAAGUCUUAGAGUCAUACUCCAAGAUUGUAAUUUGAGUGACAUGUCUUAAAGAAGGUUUAAAACACUUGUCAAAUGUAAGAGUAAAAGUUUUCUACUCUUGUACAUUUGAAAUUGGUAAGUUGUGAUGUUUUGGAUAAAACAAAGACCAACUUAGGCCAAUUGUGUAAAGUGUUUGUCUUGAUUAGAAUCCGCACUAUCUCUUGGAUGUUUGACAAGAGAGUCAUAUAUGUCAAGAGGACAGUGGGAGUCUUAAAGGUCUUGAAAGUCUCAAGACCUAAUCAAGAAUAAAACCUGAAGUUCUUCACUAGCACACGACUUGAGGUUCAUAACCUAUCGUGUUGACAUAUUUUGUGCCCAUUCCAAUCAAAUUUGGCUUUGCAUGUGAGUUCUUAGAAUUCUUAAUUGGUUGCAAAACAACUUGGAAGCAAUGGCAGACCCUUGAGCUGCCAGGUGGCAAGAAAUUAAGAUUGAGUUCAAUCCAUAUGAGUUUGGAUUUGUCAUUAUCCUUGUCUUGUGACUAUGGUUUUGACAAUUCACAUGGAUAAGAACACAUACACCAUUAAAUCUAAGUGUCAUAAGGUUUCUCUCCGAUUCAUGAAAAUGAUGGUGAGGAAACACUUUCACUAAGUAGAUUUUAGCUAGAUAGCAAUGAUAAUAUUUGCAUUCUCAAAGUCGUUAGUGGAGCGUGUGUGGUUUACUGGCACACUAACAUGGACUUGUGAGAAGUGGCAAAGGUAUAAACAAUCAAGUCUAUGAUUACGACAUCCUUUUUCAUAGUUCUUAAAGUUGUUUAGACACACCUGUGAACUAUAUAAGAUAAGGUGUAUGAUAUUGAUAAAGUUGUUGGAUAAGGUGUCUAAGUCCAUAACUAUUUCGGGCUUNNNNNNNNNNNNNNNNNNNNNNNNNNNNNNNNNNNNNNNNNNNNNNNNNNNNNNNNNNNNNNNNNNNNNNNNNNNNNNNNNNNNNNNNNNNNNNNNNNNNUGCUAUAUUCAUCCUUUCUAAAAUUAUCCAAAUGCCUGGGGCAUUUAAAAGGAUAAAGGUCUAGAACUGGAUGUGACUAAAAUGAUUAAGCAAUUGUCGAGGACAAUCUAAGGUUUACCAAAGAUUGGUUGCUCAAAGACAGUUGGAAGUAUAGUGAUAAUUCUGGAAGGACCAUAUUGACAUAAUCUGUAAGGAGGCAACUCUUGUUCAGAAGUGAUAGUCAAAAU